rnacentral:rRNA from 1 species
UAACACGUAGGAGACGAGCGUUAUCCGGAUUUACUGGGUGUAAAGCGCGUGCAGGCGGUCGGGUAAGUUGGAUGUGAAAGCUCCUGGCUUAACUGGGAGAGGUCGUUCAAAACUGCCGGGCUAGAGUGCAACAGAGGGGAGUGGAAUUCCGAGUGUAGCGGUAAAAUGCAUAGAUAUUCGGAAGAACACCAGUGGCGAAGGCGGCUCUCUGGGUUGCAACUGACGCUCAGACGCGAAAGCUAGGGUAGCGAACGGGAUUAGAGACCCCGGUAGUCCUAGCCGUAAACGAUGUGGACUUGGCGUGGGUGGGUUGAAAUCCAUCUGUGCCGAAGCAAACGCGAUAAGUCCACCACCUGGGGACUACGGCCGCAAGGUUAAAACUCAAAUGAAUUGACGG